rnacentral:rRNA from 1 species
UUAGGAAUUUUGGGCAAUGGGGGCAACCCUGACCCAGCAACGCCGCGUGGGUGAUGAAGGCCUUCGGGUCGUAAAGCCCUUUUCCCGGGGACGAUGGUGACGGUACCCGGGGAAUCAGCCCCGGCUAACUACGUGCCAGCAGCCGCGGUAAUACGUAGGGGGCGAGCGUUGUCCGGAUUUAUUGGGCGUAAAGCGCUCGCAGGCGGCGGGCCGCGUCGUGCGUGAAAGCCCUCGGCUCAACCGGGGGUGGUCGUGCGAUACGGGUCGGCUUGAGGCGGGUAGGGGGGUGCGGAAUUCCGGGUGUAGUGGUGGAAUGCGUAGAGAUCCGGAGGAACACCAGCGGCGAAGGCGGCACCCUGGACCCGGCCUGACGCUCAGGAGCGAAAGCGUGGGGAGCGAUCCG